rnacentral:rRNA from 1 species
AACGCGAAGAACCUUACCAAGGCUUGACAUUUGGAGAAGCUUCUGAAAACAGAAGUGUGCCCGCAAGGGAACUCUAAAACAGGUGGUGCAUGGCUGUCGUCAGCUCGUGUCGUGAGAUGUUGGGUUAAGUCCCGCAACGAGCGCAACCCUUGUUGUUAGUUGCCAUCAGGUAAUGCUGGGCACUCUAGCGAGACUGCCGGUGACAAACCGGAGGAAGGUGGGGACGAUGUCAAGUCAUCAUGCCCUUUAUGCCUUGGGCUACACACGUGUUACAAUGGCUAGGACAAUGUGAUGCAAGACCGCGAGGUGGAGCGAAUCACCAAACCUAGUCUCAGUUCGGAUUGCAGGCUGCAACUUGCCUGCAUGAAGUCGGAAUCGCUAGUAAAUGCCGAUCAGCACGCGGCAUUGAAUACGUUCCCGGGCCUUGUACACACGGCUAC